AUGAAACCCUUGAGUGUUUCACUAGUGGUCCUGUGGCUCCAGCUCAAUGGGGUGAGCAGUCAGCAGAAGGUGCAGCAGAGCCCAGAAUCCCUCAUUGUCUCAGAGGGAGCCAAAGCCUCUCUCAACUGCACUUUCAGUGAUAGUACCUCUGAUUCUUUCUGGUGGUACAGACAGCAUUCUGGGAAAGGCCCCAAGGUGCUGAUUUCCAUCGUCUCCAAUGGUGACAAGCAAGAAGGCAGAUUCACAGCUCACCUCAAUAAAGCCAGCCUGCAUCUUUCCCUGCACAUCAAUGACCCUCAACCCAGUGACUCUGCUGUCUACCUCUGUGCAGUGAGUGCACAGUGCUCUCCAGCCACCUGCAGCCUGCACACAAACCUACUGUGCCCAAAAGACCUGAGACAGAGCACACACUACCCAGUGGAGACAUUCUGCUUCUAUUCUGUAUGCGAUGAGAAUUAA